rnacentral:rRNA from 1 species
GAUGAACGCUAGCUACAGGCUUAACACAUGCAAGUCGCGGGGCAGCAUGGGGGUUGCUUGCAAUCCCCGAUGGCGACCGGCGCACGGGUGAGUAACGCGUAUCCAACCUGCCCUUCACCACGGGAUAACCCGGCGAAAGUCGGACUAAUACCGUAUGUUGUCCAUUGACGGCAUCCGAUUUGGACGAAAGGUUUGGCGGCGAAGGAUGGGGAUGCGUCCGAUUAGCUGGACGGCGGGGUGACGGCCCACCGUGGCGACGAUCGGUAGGGGUUCUGAGAGGAAGGUCCCCCACACUGGAACUGAGACACGGUCCAGACUCCUACGGGAGGCAGCAGUGAGGAAUAUUGGUCAAUGGGCGUAAGCCUGAACCAGCCAAGUAGCGUGCAGGAUGACGGCCCUAUGGGUUGUAAACUGCUUUUAUGCGGGGAUAAAGUGGCCCACGUGUGGGUUUUUGCAGGUACCGCAUGAAUAAGGACCGGCUAAUUCCGUG